GACAGAGGCCUUCAAGCGUUAGGCGGAAUCACUGGGCUUAAAGCGUGUGUAGGCGGACGCCUAAGUACCUUGUGAAAUCCCACGGCUCACCCGUGGAACUGCUGGGUAUACUGGGUGUCUUGGGCCAUUCAGGGGCAACUGGAACAAGCGGUGGAGCGGUGAAAUGCGUAGAUAUCGCUUGGAACGCCGAAGGUGAAAACAGGUUGCUGGGGAUGCGCCGACGCUGAGACACGAAAGCCAGGGGAGCAAACGGG
rnacentral:rRNA from 1 species